rnacentral:rRNA from 1 species
UACGAGUGGAGCGAGCGUUGUUCGGAAUCACUGGGCGUAAAGCGUACGCAGGCGGUCAUGAAAGUCAGGAGUGAAAUCCCAGGGCUCAACCCUGGGAUGGCUCUUGAAACUCCAUGACUAGAGUACUGGAGAGGUUGGCGGAAUUCCGAGUGUAGCAGUGAAAUGCGUAGAUAUUCGGAGGAACACCGAUGGCGUAGGCAGCCAACUGGACAGUAACUGACGCUCAGGUACGAAAGCGUGGGGAUCAAACAGG